UGAAGAAUCCCCCUAGCUGUCACCUGAGCUGUGAUAGAUAGGAUGCUUUAGAGUGGGCCAGAAGGCCCACAAGAUAGGCUGAGCAGAUGAUCCCAUGCUUGAU